rnacentral:rRNA from 1 species
GACGAACGCUGGCGGCGCGCUUAACACAUGCAAGUCGAGCGAGAACCAUUCCUUCGGGAAUGGGGACAGCGGCGAACGGGUGAGUAACACGUGGGUAAUCUGCCCUCGAUUCUGGGAUAGCCCGGGGAAACCCGGAUUAAUACCGGAUAGCCUCUCGAGCUUUCGAGCUCGUGAGAAAAGGUAGCUUCGGCCUCCGAUCGAGGAUGAGCCCGCGGCGGAUUAGCUUGUUGGUGGGGUAAUGGCCUACCAAGGCGACGAUCCGUAGCUGGUCUGAGAGGACGAUCAGCCACACUGGGACUGAGACACGGCCCAGACUCCUACGGGAGGCAG